UACGUAGGGGGCUAGCGUUGUCCGGAAUCAUUGGGCGUAAAGCGCGUGUAGGCGGCCCGGUAAGUCCGCUGUGAAAGUCGGGGGCUCAACCCUCGGAAGCCGGUGGAUACUGUCGGGCUCGAGUACGGAAGAGGCGAGUGGAAUUCCUGGUGUAGCGGUGGAAUGCGCAGAUAUCAGGAAGAACACCAACGGCGAAGGCAGCUCGCUGGGACGGUACUGACGCUGAGACGCGAAAGCGUGGGGAGCGAACAGG
rnacentral:rRNA from 1 species